GGUGAUUCUCAGGUGAUGCACCCUGGCUCCUUCCUCUCUGGUUCCGGGGUGCAUCACCCGAGAACCUCC
rfam:Myotis brandtii contig225921, whole genome shotgun sequence.